AGAGUGGCGAACGGGUGAGUAACACGUGGGUAACCUGCCCAUCAGAAGGGGAUAACACUUGGAAACAGGUGCUAAUACCGUAUAACACUAUUUUCCGCAUGGAAGAAAGUUGAAAGGCGCUUUUGCGUCACUGAUGGAUGGACCCGCGGUGCAUUAGCUAGUUGGUGAGGUAACGGCUCACCAAGGCAACGAUGCAUAGCCGACCUGAGAGGGUGAUCGGCCACACUGGGACUGAGACACGGCCCAGACUCCUACGGGAGGCAGCAGUAGGGAAUCUUCGGCAAUGGACGAAAGUCUGACCGAGCAACGCCGCGUGAGUGAAGAAGGUUUUCGGAUCGUAAAACUCUGUUGUUAGAGAAGAACAAGGAUGAGAGUAAAAUGUUCAUCCCUUGACGGUAUCUAACCAGAAAGCCACGGCUAACUACGUGCCAGCAGCCGCGGUAAUACGUAGGUGGCAAGCGUUGUCCGGAUUUAUUGGGCGUAAAGCGAGCGCAGGCGGUUUCUUAAGUCUGAUGUGAAAGCCCCCGGCUCAACCGGGGAGGGUCAUUGGAAACUGGGAGACUUGAGUGCAGAAGAGGAGAGUGGAAUUCCAUGUGUAGCGGUGAAAUGCGUAGAUAUAUGGAGGAACACCAGUGGCGAAGGCGGCUCUCUGGUCUGUAACUGACGCUGAGGCUCGAAAGCGUGGGGAGCGAACAGGAUUAGAUACCCUGGUAGUCCACGCCGUAAACGAUGAGUGCUAAGUGUUGGAGGGUUUCCCGCCCUUCAGUGCUGCAGCAAACGCA
rnacentral:rRNA from 1 species